rnacentral:rRNA from 1 species
CUCUGGGCCAAUACUGACACUGAGGAGCGAAAGCGUGGGGAGCGAACAGGAUUAGAUACCCUGGUAGUCCACGCCGUAAACGGUGGGCGCUAGUUGUGGGAACCUUCCACGGUUUCUGCGACGCAGCUAACGCAUUAAGCGCCCCGCCUGGGGAGUACGAUCGCAAGAUUAAAACUCAAAGGAAUUGACGGGGCCCCGCACAAGCAGCGGAGCAUGCGGCUUAAUUCGACGCAACGCGAAGAACCUUACCAAGGCUUGACAUAUACAGGAAUAUGGCAGAGAUGUCAUAGCGGUAAAACGUCUGUAUACAGGUGGUGCAUGGUUGUCGUCAGCUCGUGUCGUGAGAUGUUGGGUUAAGUCCCGCAACGAGCGCAACCCUCGUUCUGUGUUGCCAGCAUUUAGUUGGGGACUCACAGGAGACUGCCGGGGUUAACUCGGAGGAAGGUGGGGAUGACGUCAAAUCAUCAUGCCCCUUAUGUCUUGGGCUGCACGCAUGCUACAAUGGCUGGUACAAAGGGCUGCAAUACUGCAAAGUGGAGCGAAUCCCAAAAAGCCAGUCUCAGUUCGGAUUGGGGUCUGCAACUCGACCCCAUGAAGUCGGAGUUGCUAGUAAUCGUAGAUCAGCAACGCUACGGUGAAUACGUUCCCGGGGCUUGUACACACCGCCCGUCACAUCACGAAAGUCGGUAACACCCAAAGUCAGUGGCCCAACCGCAAGGAGG